AUUGAACGCUGGCGGAAUGCUUUACACAUGCAAGUCGAGCGGCAGCACGGGGGCAACCCUGGUGGCGAGCGGCGAACGGGUGAGUAAUACAUCGGAACAUGCCCAGUCGUGGGGGAUAACAUUUCGAAAGAAGUGCUAAUACCGCAUACGUCCUGAGGGAGAAAGCGGGGGAUCUUCGGACCUCGCGCGAUUGGAGUGGCCGAUGUCAGAUUAGCUAGUUGGUGGGGUAAAGGCCUACCAAGGCAACGAUCUGUAGCUGGUCUGAGAGGCUGUUCAGCCACGCUCGGACUGAGACACGGCCCAGACUCCUACGUGAGGCAGCAGUGGGGAAUUUUGGCCAAUGGGGGAAACCCUGAUCCAGCCAUUCCGCGUGAGUGAAGAAGGCCUUCGGGUUGUGCAGCUCUUUCGGCAGGAACGAAACGGCGAGCUCUCACAUAGCUUGCUAAUGACAGUACCUGAAGAAGAAGCACCGGCUACCUACGUGCCAGCCGCCGCAGUAACAC
rnacentral:rRNA from 1 species